rnacentral:miRNA from 1 species
AUACCCUCCGUUUCGGGGGAUUCGGCGAAAUAUUACCCGAAGUGAUGAUAUAUCACUUCGAGUAAUAUUUCGCCGAAUCCCCCUCACUCCAGG